AUGCCGGCGCUGCUCCCGUCGCCACGUUCGACGCCGCCCAGACCUCCAGCAGCUCGACGGAAGACGCUGGCCGGGGUGACCGGCUUCCAGUUGCCACGACAGAGCCCUCGUCUCCGAGCAAAGAAAAGGAAGAUACCCAUAGCAAAGCUUGCUGAACAACUUCUUUGUCGCCGCAUGAACAUUGUGGCUGAGGGCGAGCAGGUCACAGAAGCGGCGAUUGCAAAAUUCGCACAGAUGUUCCAAGGCCAACUGCCAGAUAUUGCCGUUGCGGCCCUCCGCGCGCUCUUCCAGCUGGACUGCGACCUCUCCUCAGCAGUGGAGGAGGCGCUGGUGCAGCAUGGUGGAGAAGGAGGUCCAGAGCUGGACGAGACUGCCUCCACGGGCGCCUGA
rnacentral:rRNA from 1 species